rnacentral:rRNA from 1 species
AGUGGCGGACGGGUGAGUAACGCGUGGGUAUCCUGCCCAUAAGUGGGGGACAACAGUUGGAAACGACUGCUAAUACCGCAUAUGGUGAGCAAUCAUUAAAGGAGCCUCUUAACAAUGCUUCCGCUUAUGGAUGAGCCCGCGUCUGAUUAGCUAGUUGGUGGGGUAACGGCCUACCAAGGCGACGAUCAGUAGCCGGCCUGAGAGGGUGAACGGCCACACUGGGACUGAGACACGGCCCAGACUCCUACGGGAGGCAGCAGUGGGGAAUAUUGCGCAAUGGGGGAAACCCAGACGCAGCGACGCCGCAUGAGCGAUGAAGGCCUUAGGGUUGUAAAGCUCUGUUUUAGGGGACGAAUGUUACAGGUAGUAAUAUGACCUGUAAAUGACGGUACCCUAAGAGGAAGCCCCGGCUAACUACGUGCCAGCAGCCGCGGUAAGACGUAGGGGGCGAGCGUUGUCCGGAAUUACUGGGCGUAAAGAGCACGUAGGCGGAGACUUAAGUCAGGUGUGAAAGACCGGGGCUCAACCCCGGGGUGGCACUUGAAACUGGGUCCCUUGAGGGCAGGAGAGAAAAGUAGAAUUCCUGGUGUAGCGGUGAAAUGCGUAGAAAUCAGGAGGAAUACCAGUGGCGAAGGCGACUUUCUGGACUGACCCUGACGCUGAGGUGCGAAAGCGUGGGUAGCAAACAGGAUUAGAUACCCUGGUAGUCCACGCCGUAAACGAUGGAUACUAGGUGUGGGAGGUAUCGACUCCUUCCGUGCCGCAGCUAACGCAAUAA